rnacentral:rRNA from 1 species
GGAAGUAAAAGUCGUAACAAGGUUUCCGUAGGUGAACCUGCGGAAGGAUCAUUACUGAUUUAGCGAACCGAGCAUUAGCGAGGUUUUGCGAUCAAUUUAUAUUUAAAACCCACUCUUUAAUGUAUAAAAUUUGUAUUAUGAUAAAUUAAAAGAUCACUUUCAACAACGGAUCUCUUGGCUCUCGCAUCGAUGAAGAACGUAGCGAAGUGCGAUAAGUAAUGUGAAUUGCAGUAUUCCGUGAAUCAUCGAAUCUUUGAACGCAUAUUGCACUUUCUGGUAUUCCGGAAAGUAUGCCUGUUUGAGGGUCAGUUAAAUAAAAAUCGGUGUUGCUGCCGCUUUCCGUGGUGACGCGUCGGAAUUGAGUCGUCUUCGGUUAAGUGACUUAAAAUUUUAUAUGAUUUUCGAACGUAUUUAAAUUUAUUUGAACGUUUGAUAUCGAAUGCUUAUUAGGUUCGGUCAUUCUAAUGACCCGCGCCUAUAGUUUUUUCAUUAAAUGACCUCAAAUCAGGUAAGAAUACCCGCUGAACUUAAGCAUAUCAAUAAGCGGAGGA